UAGGGAAUCUUCCACAAUGGACGCAAGUCUGAUGGAGCAACGCCGCGUGAGUGAAGAAGGUUUUCGGAUCGUAAAGCUCUGUUGUGGGUGAAGAAGGAUAGAGGCAGUAACUGGUCUUUAUUUGACGGUAAUCAACCAGAAAGUCACGGCUAACUACGUGCCAGCAGCCGCGGUAAUACGUAGGUGGCAAGCGUUGUCCGGAUUUAUUGGGCGUAAAGCGAGCGCAGGCGGAAUGAUAAGUCUGAUGUGAAAGCCCACGGCUCAACCGUGGAACUGCAUCGGAAACUGUCAUUCUUGAGUGCAGAAGAGGGGAGGGGAAUUCCAUGUGUAGCGGUGGAAUGCGUAGAUAUAUGGAAGAACACCAGUGGCGAAGGCGGCUCUCUGGUCUGCAACUGACGCUGAGGCUCGAAAGCAUGGGUAGCGAACAGG
rnacentral:rRNA from 1 species